UUUAAGUGUAACCAUAAAUUUUUUUAUCUAAUUUUAUCAUCCGUCUUAUUUAAUUUUUUUUUAUAAUUAUUAUUUUUUUAUGAGAUGAUAAAAUACAAAUAGUACUUUCUUCGUGACUUAUGUUUUUAAUCUUUUUAAAUAAGACGCACGAUCAAAGUUGGACGCGGAAAACCAUGGCUGCACUUAAA
rfam:Oryza meridionalis cultivar OR44 (W2112) chromosome 12, whole genome shotgun sequence.